rnacentral:rRNA from 1 species
GAUGAACGCUGGCGGCGUGCCUAAUACAUGCAAGUCGAACGAACGGACCGGAAGCUUGCUUCUCUGAUGUUAGCAGCGGACGGGUGAGGCACACGUGGAUAACCUACCUAUCAGACUGGGAUAAUUUUGCGAAACCGUAUCUAAUGCCGAAUGAUAUUUUGCACCUCGUUGUUCCCGAGUUGAAUACGGUCUUUCGGUCAGUUAUAGAUUGCUCCGCGCUGGAUUAGUUAGUUGGUAAGGAAACGGCUUACCAAGGCUACGAUGCAUAGCCGACCUGAGAGCGUGAUCGGACAGACUGGAAGUGAGACAGGGUAGCGACUCCUACGGGAGGAAGCAGUAGGGACUCUUACGCAAUGGGGGAAAGGCUGACGUAGCACCGUGGGGUGAGUGCUGAAGGUGUAAGGAUCGGAAAGCGAUGUUAUUAGGGAAGAAGAUAUGUGUAAGUACCUGUGAACAUAUUGACGGUACCUGAUCAGAAAGCCACGGCUAACUCCGUG